rnacentral:pre_miRNA from 1 species
UAUCAGAAUCUCCAGGGGUACUUAAAAUUUGAAAAAGUCCCCCAGGUGUGAUUCUGAUUUG